AUAUAACAACAGUACAAAUUGUGUCCUUGGCUUGCAAAAUAGGAGUGUUUCAUAUUUACAAUAGGUACAGGAUAAUAUAUUAGAAUAACAAAAAAACCCAUUUUUUGGAACAAUUUAAAUAAUUUUCUUAUUAUUCCACAACACCUAAAAAAACAACAAAACCAGACAACCAUCAUUGUAUUUUCUUAAAAAUAGAUAUGAUACAGAUUCCAGUGUGUCAAGGGGGUUGGGUUUGCAUGGGAAGUGUUUGGGGAGAGGUGGGUGGGCUUGUGUUGCAAAGAGCGUGUCACUUCUUCCCCUGGACCUCAGUGACAUCUGUCCCAUGUGGUGGAGACCACGUUGCAUGAUGCUGCCCACUGCGGAUGCUGCUAGGGAUGUCAGAUUCGCUCAACGUGCAGGCUGACCGAGCUCUCAGAGCAGCUUCCCCCCUUCCUGCGGUGGAGGUGGGAGAGCCGGAGCACUGCAGAAAGGGUGCAGGGAGGGAGACUUUGUAGGAAGAAAAUGGGAAGGGGAAUCCAGGAGAAGCUGAGGACUCCCAGGUUCCUUAUUGGGCAGAGGAGCUGUCGUCUUGAUCAUCAUGAUCGCCUCACAAGACAUCACCUAAAACCAGUAAGAGGGGAACACUAUCCUCCAUUCAUGGGCUUUGGGCAGCUUCACUCUGGGGAAGCUGGAAGGAAGGUUGCAGACAGGGAAGUGAGACUGCAGGGUUCAGGCAAGGCUGCUGUUCCGGAGAGAGGCCCCUGAGAUUCUGAACUUCAUCUCCUAAGUGCCCUAGCCCCAAGGGCUCUGCUCCCACGGCCCUGUGUCUCGACGGCUGCUGUGCGUCUUCUUCUCCACACUGUUGCAGCAUGUCAUUCUUCCUUGUCUGUGUCCAUGGCACAGCAUGGCUGGGAGAGGGCCCUCCACAGGAGGGCUGCCAGCCCAGUGUCUCCAGGCAGCAGGUGAUGGCACAGCCCCGGCCGUGAUCAGGCUGGGUUUCCCAACAGGCACCGCUAGUUUGGCCCCGACUGCCCCCAGUCUACAUGCCCACCAGCGCCUCUUCAUUCUCGGUGGGGCUGGAGCCUUGAUGGCUAUGCUUGUCCCCAUUGCUGGAGCUGGGAAAAGGUCAGGAGCUGAAGCAGCAGAGGCAGUGCCACCUGAACAGUAGGCAGCGGUGGAAUGAGAGUAACUCUCCUGGCUGGGGGACCUCCCCAGGAGAAGGUAAGGCAGCUGGGUGGGUCGACUUACCUUCUUUACUGCACCCCUUUUGUGUAACGGGAACCUCUGUUGGUGGAGGAGGGAGGACUGUGUCUGCUGCAUCGGUGGCAAGAACCAGCAGCCUGGAGAACAGACAUACUCUUAGAAGGGCCCUCUCGUUCAUCACGUUUCCAGCACCUUGGAGAUAGCUGCUGCUCAAGAAGAUCCUCUAAAGGAGAAGAUGCAGGAAACAGCUCUUUCCUUCCAGGGACGUUUUAGUAACACAUUCAUGCUGUUAAUGUCUCAGCGAUGUUAGGAGAGAUCAAAAGUGACUUUGAGAGCCACGCUAUGGAAAGAGGUAGAAGGAGGAUGGUUGACACCGAAGCACCCGCUCCACGCAGAGCACAGGGUCCAGCUGGGCUCCACAUCUUGUCCUCUGGCAUCAUCUAUCUUCCAGCCCCUGCUGGAGUUCUAUUCUCUCCCCAGAGAGCUGCCUCUUCUGUGGCUCAGUGGAACAAACAGCUGGAGAAGACACGGGAGAGAUUUCCUGCCUCCCUGCAGGAGGGACGGCUUCUGGGGAGGGACUGUGGCUUUAACAUGUCUUUACACAGGCCAAAUAGCCUCAAAUUGGAUAAUAGCAAGAAGACAGCACAACAAACUCUGUCUCCUCCGCAUUCUACAGGGAGUUUUCGUGGGUUCUUGCUGUGUGCAAGCAAAGAGUUGGCAGAGGAUGGGUAAGUAGAAAGCUAGAAUGAGGGGCCAGCCACUUCUGCUGUCCUCUUGACCUGGCCUCAGUCCAACUGUGUUUUCCUUUGUCUUUUUUUCUGCAGGGAUGUCCCUCCGCCACUUCCUUUGCCAGUUUAAGUGCCCCAGCUCUCUCAUGGAAUCUGGAGGAAUGUGGCCAGACCACCCAGGGCCACUUUGGCUCCUUUUCUCUCCAUUUCCACUCUCCAUCCCCCAUCAUCCUCCAGGGAGGCCUCCCCAGGAGCAGUGCGUGGUCACCCAAGUAGCUGUUGGGAGACCCUAGGUAAAUCCAUGGAAGCCAGGGCCAGGUGGCACUGAAAGAAGCGUGGGCCUAUCUCUUACUUCUUUCUUGGCAAACAGAGCCUUGGAUGCCGGCCUGAGCAGCGAUGUGAUCAGGAAACUUUCAUUCAGCUGAGCUCAGAAAUAAGUGAGGGUGGGCUGGAAUUUCCAUGGGUAGCGCAAAGUCGAAACUCACAUCCUUCUGGCCCUAUCACUUCUUUUAUUUCCAUAAAUUAUGGGCUCAGAGCUGAUAAGCUGUGGGUGCCAUGAAGAGCCAACACUUUGGCUUAGUACAGAGGGCCUGUCAUUAGUAUUUCUUUCAUGCUAUUAACAGAGCCCCAAGAACUUUCACAGAAGUAAAUUAUCAGAAGAAAGUGGCCUUGGCAUGGCUGGUUGUGAAUUAUAAUGAAAACAGCAAGUUUCCUGAGUAUUUUGCUGAAUGCUUUUCUCUUCCCAUUUUCCAGCUGCAUUCAGGCAAGAAACCAGCGCUGAAGAAACUAGGCAGUCUGCUGUGCGGUUAGACAGUUGUCUAAAACCGUGGACCCAGAGGGCUGCUUGCAGAGAAACCGGAGCCAAUUGCUUGAUUCCAAGCCAAGGAUGGAGGCAGGGACUUCCUGAUGGACGUCCUUUUACAGCAUUCCACUGCCACCAGAGCUGUCCUCCUUUGGUUAACUCCAUCAGCUUCUUGGGGGCUUCUGGAGCUUUGGUCUCUUUGUUUGGAAACUACACUCAGGAGAACUGGUGAUUCAUGGUUUUAGGAGUUAGCAGGAGAGAGAAGGAAAGCAGCCUGAUAAUAUGUCCACUUGUCCCUUGUCCUUCUAACCCGCAGGUCCACGACAGGCAGAAGAGGACAGUGACGUGGGUACGGGGCAGUCAAGUCUGCCAAGGCAAGUGUGGUCUGCCCAGUGGUCAGGAGCAUGGGGUGUGAGUGAAGGGUUGUCUCCCCUCUCCAGGCACGAGAGAAUGAAAGAAAAUAUAACAAUAAAUACUGCAGCUUCUUAACCCUACACUCUUCAAGUAUUGCUUGCUGUAAACAGUGUUUGAGUUUUGUUUUCCUUUUAUUUGCCAGGAACCAGGGCAUGACUGGAAUGGAAUCCAAAGCCAAAUGUCUUUGUCACCAACUCAACCCCCAGGGGACCUCCUGGAGGCCAGGCGGACACACUCCAGGCUGUUCCCCCAGAGUCCCUGCUUCAGGACAGGACUGAAUAGGGGUGGAGCUGCUGGUUGUCCUUGGGAAAGCAAGGGAUCUGGUCUGGGAGAGGCUCACCUCUCCUACUUGCCAAUUCACUUUAGGGAAACCAAAAAGGAAAAGUAUCAAAGGCCAGCUCCUCCUUCGUUGAGGUUUGGGAUUAAAUAAAACAGCAGCAGAAAGCACUGGUGCGCUAUUGAUAGCCCUUCUCUGUGGAGAUGAGAAUGGACAGGUGUGUGGGGACCAAUCGUAAGUCCCUGCCAGCCAGGCACAGCUACUUGAUGGCUUUGCACUGUGUGCCCGGUUCCAGGCGGCCACGCUCUCCCAGCAGCCAGGAGCUCCGGGCUGACUGGCGUUUGCGACGUGUUUGGUGUGGACACUGUGCUCAUUCAUCUCCUGCUGCUGCUUUUUUUGUUUUCUCCUUGUCCAAGGGAAAGGAGGCCUCUUCUUCCCUUUCGGCUCCUGCUUGGAUCUCUCCUUGGCUCUUCCUGACAUUUGGAAAGAGGACUUACACAGGGAGGGGAGGUGAUAGGGACUAGAAGGAAGGAGUGGAAAUCAGAGUUAAACAAAAGUUGGACGGGAUUAACAGGACGGCUUUUUGUUUUGUUUUAUUUCUUUUUUUCCUUUUUCUUAAAAAAAUUAAAUAAA